rnacentral:rRNA from 1 species
UACGUAGGGUGCAGGCGUUAAUCGGAAUUACUGGGCGUAAAGCGUGCGCAGGCGGUUUCUUAAGUCAGAUGUGAAAGCCCCGGGCUUAACUGGGGAGGGUCACUCGAUACUGAUCGACUCGAAGGCAGGAGAGGGAAGUGGAAUUCCCGGUGUAGUGGUGAAAUGCGUAGAUAUCUGGAGGAACACCGGUGGCGAAGGCGGCGUUCUGGACUGUUUCUGACACUGUAAAACGAAAGCCAGGGGAGCAAACGGG